CAUACGCCGCCGCCGCUGUUGACCCCGGCCGCCCCUGCCCCUCCGCCAGUGUGUCUUCCACGCUAUCCAUAGACACAGUGCGCGAACAGGAGUAAUGCGGCCCUUUCUCAGUUAUGACGCGUACGAGAGGUGGCAGAGGAAAGCUGUUCACAGGGGACAUGCGUGGUUAGCGCAUGACUUUGCUCGCGAACGUGUGCGCACACGUAAACACACACACACACACACACACACACACACAAACACGGCCGCUUCGGCAGCGGGCCCUUCCGCAGGCUGCAGGAACUCGUCAAGGGCUUGUGUGAUGCGUUCCUACUCACUCUUGCGGCUUGUCUGGCUUGUGGUCUUCGCGUUGGCGCGUAUUCUGCCACGACUUCUCCCUCUCCUCAAGUGUGCUGCCUGGCCGCUCGACGCUGUCGCCAUGCCCACAAUGAGGCGCCUGUGCAUACCAGGAUCACCACAGCAUGCUUACAUCAUCGCCUUGGCCCGCCUGUAUCUCAUCAUUGUUUCGCACGCACGCGGCCUCUUCCGUGUCUUGACGCCCCCUUUUCACGCAUACACGGUUGCAAG
rnacentral:misc_RNA from 1 species